rnacentral:rRNA from 1 species
GACAGAGGGUGCAAACGUUGUUCGGAAUUACUGGGAGUAAAGCGCGUGUAGGCGGCCAUGCAAGUCGGAUGUGAAAGCCCUCGGCUCAACCGGGGAAGUGCACUCGAAACUGCAAGGCUAGAGUCUCGGAGAGGAUCGUGGAAUUCUCGGUGUAGAGGUGAAAUUCGUAGAUAUCGAGAGGAACACCGGUGGCGAAGGCGGCGAUCUGGACGAUGACUGACGCUGAGACGCGAAAGCGUGGGGAGCAAACAGG